rnacentral:lncRNA from 1 species
AAAAAACAUUCAAAAAGGUGGAACAACCUAAAACAGAACAUAGGGAAUUCUUCAAAUACAGCAACGAAGCAAUACUGCUGAGAUGCCAACCUAACUCAUACAUGGAUACUGUGAAGAAAUUUUCAAAAAAACAGGUUGAAGAGAAACUUUGACGAGAAGUUCGAUAAGCUAAACGUAGGAAAACACCAAAUAAAAAUAACAUCGGACACAGUUUACGAAGUAUUUGGAAUACCAAAGGGUCCAAAGAAGGUUGAAAUAAUAGCCGAUAAGAGAAAAGUCAAAAAGCAGGAGAAAAUUUAAAAAAGUCAAGAACCGGGAAAUGCUGUCAGGGAUACAUUCAUCCGCCAGUGGGGGGAAAACACGAGAAUUACCCAUGGCUUAAUUGCAAAUACAAUGGAAAAUCAAAGAGACGGAGGGAACCUGUUUAAAUUAAAUUUCCUUGUAUACUGGAUGACCUUCUUUGCAGAAAUUACAAAGGCAACACUUGCAAAUGAUAGAUGUUUGCUUGGUGUAGAAGAUGUUGAGGAAAUACAGAAUCUAGAUUGGUGCUCAUAUCUACUCGACACCUUGCGUCGUACACGAGCGGGCUGGAAGAACUAUAAAAUACAGUUCGUGGGACCUGUUGCCUUUCUUACGCUUCUAUACAUGCAUGAGUACAACAAAAGGCUUAACCUGUUUGAGAAAGCCGUGGAGAUAC